rnacentral:rRNA from 1 species
GGACAACCUGCCCAAAGGUCCGGGAUAACCCCGGGAAACUGGGGAUAAUACCGGAUAAAUCACAAAUACUGGAAUGGUUUUGUGGUUGAAACUUCCGGGGCCUUUGGAUGGGUCUGCGGCUGAUUAGGUUGUUGCCGGUGUAACGUACCGUCAAGCCUGUAAUCAGUACGGGUUGUGGGAGCAAGAGCCCGGAGAUGGAUUCUGAGACACGAAUCCAGGCCCUACGGGGCGCAGCAGGCGCGAAAACUCUACAAUGCAGGCAACUGCGAUAGGGGAACAUCGAGUGAUACUCAUCUUGGGUGUCUGUCCUCCCGUCUAAAAAACGGGAGUUAGCAAGGGCCGGGCAAGACCGGUGCCAGCCGCCGCGGUAAUACCGGCGGCUCGAGUGGUGGCCGAUAUUAUUGAGUCUAAAGGGUCCGUAGCCGGCUUUGCAAGUCUUUUGGGAAAUCCAGCGGCUUAACCGUUGGUCGUCCGGGAGAUACUACAUUGCUUGGGACUGGGAGAGGUAGGAGGUACUCAGGGGGUAGGAGUGAAAUCCUGUAAUCCUUUGGGGACCACCGGUGGCGAAGGCGUCCUACCAGAACAGGUCCGACGGUGAGGGACGAAAGCUGGGGGAGCAAACCGGAUUAGAUACCCGGGUAGUCCCAGCUGUAAACGAUGCAGACUCGGUGAUGAGUUGGCUUUAUGCCAACUCAGUGCCGCAGGGAAGCCGUUAAGUUUGCCGCCUGGGGAGUACGGUCGCAAGACUGAAACUUAAA